UUGAGCUUUUGAAAUUCCAACUUAUUUUCUUGACACUUUUAGCAAAAACUUCCAACUACAAAGUUGUUCCCCACACUCUUGUGAGUAACUUCCAUGUAGAGUGCAUCUUGUGGGGAGCAUUGUGUGAGGAGUUAUACCCUUAAAAUAGCCACGAAAUUUUGGGGAAUUUUUUGUGAUUUUUGGGUUGAUUCAUUGCUUGGAGAUCAUUCCCUUGGACCAUUGGAGACUAUUGGUGUUAAGUUUUUCUAUCCUCUUUGAGUAUUCAUGGAGAUCAUAAUAUUGAUGAAGAUUUUGAAGUUGUUGCCACUCACAGAUUCAAUAGAAGUGGAUUAAGCUUGGAGCUUACGUUGAGGAGCAUUGGCUUCGGAGUGAGAUGUGUGUUGGUUUGGACUUCUGCUGAAGAUAUCCUUUGGGGAUUCCGAUCGGGUUUUGCCGUGGAGCCGACUCUGAGAGCCGUACCAGGAUGAUCCAAACGUGGGACUUCCGCUGGAUAGGGCUCAUGAGGAGUUCCAGUUGGGUUUUGCCAUGAGGUCGUCUCAUCCAUGGGAGAGGCACCGGGAAGAUUCCCGGGAGUUAUAUGAUGGGGUCCUUGAACGGAAAUCAUUAGGUGGAUGUUCUUGGAUUUGUGCCCAGUUGUUGUGAUUUUGUAUGUUAUGCAUUUUACAUGAUGUUAUUUGUUGCACAUUGAGUGAGCCAUGGGAUGGAGUGAUUCUCUAGUACCCUUGGUUUACUGAGAUAUAUUUGUAUAUCUCACCCCGCGUUUGGGGACAUCAUUUUAGGUUAUUAUGAGCAUGGAGGAGCUUCGGGCAAGAGGCCCGCUUAGUGGAGGAUUCUAGCAUGAGGUGCAUAUGAUGGCAUGACAUUUUGGAGGAGUUUAUAUUAGAUUCUAAGUCUUUUGUAUUUGAUUUAUAUUUCAUGCCUUGGUUUAUAUUGGUAUUUUGGUGAGCAUGAGAUU